UACAGAGGGUGCAAGCGUUAAUCGGAAUUACUGGGCGUAAAGCGCGCGUAGGUGGUUUGUUAAGUUGAAUGUGAAAGCCCCGGGCUCAACCUGGGAACUGCAUCCAAAACUGGCAAGCUAGAGUACGGUAGAGGGUGGUGGAAUUUCCUGUGUAGCGGUGAAAUGCGUAGAUAUAGGAAGGAACACCAGUGGCGAAGGCGACCACCUGGACUGAUACUGACACUGAGGUGCGAAAGCGUGGGGAGCAAACAGG
rnacentral:rRNA from 1 species